rnacentral:tRNA from 1 species
GCGGUUAUGGCUCAGUGGUAGAGCGCUUGCUUAGCACGUGUGAGGUACUGGGUUCUAUUCUCAGUACCACA